rnacentral:rRNA from 1 species
UACGUAGGGUGCGAGCGUUAAUCGGAAUUACUGGGCGUAAAGCGUGCGCAGGCGGUUCUUUGAGUCUGAUGUGAAAGCCCCGGGCUCAACCUGGGAAUGGCAUUGGAAACUGGCGAGCUAGAGUGUGGCAGAGGGGGGUGGAAUUCCGCGUGUAGCAGUGAAAUGCGUAGAUAUCGAGAGGAACACCGGUGGCGAAGGCGGCCAACUGGACAGAUACUGACGCUGAGACACGAAAGCGUGGGGAGCAAACAGG